rnacentral:RNase_P_RNA from 1 species
GCAGUAAGUACGGUCUGCCGCUGACGCCGCAAGGCGAAAGAGGAAAGUCCGGGCAACGCAGAGCAUCCUACUUCCUAACAGAAAGCCAUCUGCGAAGGUGGAGUAACGUAGAAGAAAACAACCGCCACAAUUCCUACGGGAAACGGGGUAAGGGUGAGAAGGUGGGGUAAGAGCCCACCAGCCGCAUGGUGACAUGACGGGCUGUACGUCUUAGGAGUUGUAAGGUCAUGUAAACCGACAUUAUGAGGGUUGCUCGCCCCACGUCGGAGGGUAGACCGCUAGAGCCUGUUGGUGACAACAGGCGUAGAUAAAUGGCAGGCACUUCGCCGCAAGGCGAGGAACAGAACCCGGCUUACAGGCUGACUGCUUUU